rnacentral:rRNA from 1 species
UACAGAGGUCCCAAGCGUUGUUCGGAUUCAUUGGGCGUAAAGGGUGCGUAGGCGGCGCGGCAAGUCGGGUGUGAAAUCUCGGAGCUUAACUCCGAAACUGCAUUCGAUACUGCUGUGCUUGAGGACUGGAGAGGAGACUGGAAUUUACGGUGUAGCGGUGAAAUGCGUAGAUAUCGUAAGGAAGACCAGUGGCGAAGGCGGGUCUCUGGACAGUUCCUGACGCUGAGGCACGAAGGUCAGGGGAGCGAACGGG